rnacentral:rRNA from 1 species
AUGCUCGAGACCGGAGUGAUUGAGCACAACAUGAGCCCCUUCGCUGCUCCCGUACUGCUGGUCAAAAAGAAAGACGACACGUGGCGCUUCUGUGUGGACUAUCGUCAGCUCAACGACCUCAUUGUCAAGAAUCGCUUCCCUCUGCCCAUCAUCGACGAGCUGCUGGAUGAGCUCACCGGCGCCAAGUUCUUUUCCAAGCUCGAUCUUCGCGCCGGCUACCACCAGAUUCGUAUGAGGCCGGGCGACGAAGAGAAAAUGGCCUUCAAAACUCAUCAUGGCCACUUUCACUUCCGCGUCAUGCCAUUCGGGCUGACAAACGCGCCAGCCACAUUUCAGUGUCUGAUGAACCAAAUUUUCGCGUGGUACGUCCGUCGAUUUGUCAUCAUCUUCCUUGGCGACAUUUUGGUGUUCAGUGACACACUGGAAGAGCACGAGGAGCACUUGCGCACCGUCUUCGACUUACUCCGCCAACACCAGCUCUACGUCAAGCUCUCCAAGUGCUCCUUCGCCACGGAGAGCAUCGACUACCUGGGGCACAUCAUCUCUCAGGACGGCGUGGCCACAGAUGCGGAGAAGACCCAUGCCAUGCUCAACUGGCCCACGCCGUCCAUGGCCACCGAGCUGUGCAGCUUCCUCGGCCUUACGGGAUACUACCGCAAGUUCGUCGCACACUACGGGAUCAUCGCCAAGCCGCUGACAGCGCUGCUCACCAAGAAGGGCUUCGUCUGA